rnacentral:rRNA from 1 species
UACGUAGGGUGCGAGCGUUAAUCGGAAUUACUGGGCGUAAAGCGUGCGCAGGCGGUUUUGUAAGCCAGAUGUGAAAUCCCCGGGCUUAACCUGGGAAUGGCAUUUGGGGACUGCAAGGCUUGAGUGCGGCAGAGGAGACUGGAAUUCCUGGUGUAGCAGUGAAAUGCGUAGAUAUCAGGAGGAACACCGAUGGCGAAGGCAGGUCUCUGGGCUGACACUGACGCUCAUGCACGAAAGCGUGGGGAGCGA